rnacentral:lncRNA from 1 species
UGGAGCCUGGAUAACGUUGGAAAAAGCGAUUUAUCAGGGCAAAUUCUGCCCCAUUUCAUCCAGUAUGAAGGGUGUUUGGACAAAGCACAAUUUCCCAGCAUCCAUCACUGGAAAAGGAUCAGCACUGGACCACCCUCGAUCAGGCCUGAUUUGAAUGGUGGACCCACUCCUAGCGUAGCACUGAUAUGACAGUGGCAGAGAUAAGGAUUAUGUCAACAUGAAGCUGGAAUGCCAGACGGUCACAGGAAGCUGAUAAGCACUCAGAGGUCAAUUUGAUC